rnacentral:lncRNA from 1 species
AGCACUGUCAAAUGAGAGCAAGUACCGUGAGAGUGAUUUGUGAGAGCAGAGGUUAUUUUUUUGGUAUACACAGUGAGUGAAGAAAACAUUUUAGUUUUUAGGGUUUCAUAAAUAAAAUAAUAAAUUAAAAAAAUAAAAUUAGGUAGGUGGGUUGGUGGGCCAACCCGGCUCACCACGGGUUUAACCCGCAUGAGCCGGGUCUAAAUGAGCCGGGUUGAAAUCUGACCCGCAUAUAAGUGGAUUGUAUUUUUCA